UACGGAGAACUCAAGCGUUACCCGGAAUCACUGGGCGUAAAGCGUUGCGUAGCCGGCUUUGCCAGUCAGGUCUUAAAGACCGAGGCUCAACCUCGGUAAUGGGCUUGAUACUACAAAGCUAGAGGAUGGGAGAGGUGAGUGGAAUUGCUGGUGUAGGAGUGAAAUCCGUAGAUAUCAGCAGGAACACCAAUGGCGAAGGCAGCUCACUGGACCAUUCCUGACGCUCAGGCACGAAAGCGUGGGGAGCGAACCGG
rnacentral:rRNA from 1 species